GAUGAAGAACGCAGUGAAAUGCGAUAAGUAAUGUGAAUUGCAGAAUUCAGUGAAUCAUCGAAUCUUUGAACGCACAUUGCGCCCCUUGGUAUUCCAUGGGGCAUGCCUGUUCGAGCGUCAUUUGUACCCUCAAGCUUUGCUUGGUGUUGGGCGUCUUGUCUUGUAUUAGACUCGCCUUAAAGUCAUUGGCAGCCAGUGUUUUUGGUAGUAAGCGCAGCACAUUUUGCGUCUUAGUCCUUGAAUCGUGGCAUCCAUGAAGCCUUUUUUCACUUUUGACCUCGGAUCAGGUAGGGAUACCCGCUGAACUUAAGCAUAUCAAUAAGCGGAGGA
rnacentral:misc_RNA from 1 species